rnacentral:misc_RNA from 1 species
GAUGAAGAACGCAGCGAAAUGCGAUAAGUAAUGCGAAUUGCAGAAUUCAGUGAAUCAUCGAAUCUUUGAACGCACAUUGCGCCCGCCAGUACUCUGGCGGGCAUGCCUGUCUGAGCGUCAUUUCAACCCUCGCGCCCGGCUUCUGUCGGGGGCGGUGUUGGGGAUCGACCUCCCGUCUUCCGGGCGGCCGGCCCCUAAAUGGAGUGGCGACCGCGCCGUAGCCUCCUCUGCGUAGUAGUGAAACACUCGCGGGCGGAGAGCGGUGCGGCCCGCCGUAAAACCCCCAACUCUUCUAAGGUUGACCUCAGAUCAGGUAGGAAUACCCGCUGAACUUAAGCAUAUCAAUAAGCGGAGGA